AUUGAACGCUGGCGGCAUGCUUUACACAUGCAAGUCGAGGGGAAACGACAUCGAAAGCUUGCUUUUGAUGGGCGUCGACCGGCGCACGGGUGAGUAACGCGUAUCCAACCUGCCCACCACUUGGGGAUAACCUUGCGAAAGUAAGACUAUUACCCAAUGAUAUCUCUAGAAGACAUCUGAAAGAGAUUAAAGAUUUAUCGGUGAUGGAUGGGGAUGCGUCGGAUUAGCUUGUUGGCGGGGUAACGGCCCACCAAGGCUACGAUCAGUAGGGGUUCUGAGAGGAAGGUCCCCCACAUUGGAACUGAGACACGGUCCAAACUCCUACGGGAGGCAGCAGGGAGGAAUAUUGGUCAAUGGACGAGAGUCUGAACCAGCCAAGUAGCGUGCAGGGUGACGGCCCUAUGGGUUGUAAACUGCUUUUAUAAGGGAAUAAAGUGAGUCUCGUGAGACUUUUUGCAUGUACCUCAUGAAUAAGGACCGGCUAAUUCCGUGCCAGCCGCCGCGGUAA
rnacentral:rRNA from 1 species